UUACCGAGUUUACAACUCCCAAACCCCUGUGAACAUACCUUAAUGUUGCCUCGGCGGAUCAGCCCGCGCCCCGUAAAACGGGACGGCCCGCCAGAGGACCCAAACUCUAAUGUUUCUUAUUGUAACUUCUGAGUAAAACAAACAAAUAAAUCAAAACUUUCAACAACGGAUCUCUUGGUUCUGGCAUCGAUGAAGAACGCAGCAAAAUGCGAUAAGUAAUGUGAAUUGCAGAAUUCAGUGAAUCAUCGAAUCUUUGAACGCACAUUGCGCCCGCUGGUAUUCCGGCGGGCAUGCCUGUUCGAGCGUCAUUUCAACCCUCAAGCCCCCGGGUUUGGUGUUGGGGAUCGGCUCUGCCCUUCUGGGCGGUGCCGCCCCCGAAAUACAUUGGCGGUCUCGCUGCAGCCUCCAUUGCGUAGUAGCUAACACCUCGCAACUGGAACGCGGCGCGGCCAUGCCGUAAAACCCCAACUUCUGAAUGUUGACCUCGGAUCAGGUAGGAAUACCCGCUGAACUUAAGCAUAUCAAUAAGCGGAGGAAAAGAAACCAACAGGGAUUGCCCUAGUAACGGCGAGUGAAGCGGCAACAGCUCAAAUUUGAAAUCUGGCUUUCGGGCCCGAGUUGUAAUUUGUAGAGGAUACUUUUGAUGCGGUGCCUUCCGAGUUCCCUGGAACGGGACGCCAUAGAGGGUGAGAGCCCCGUCUGGUUGGAUGCCAAAUCCUCUGUAAAGUUCCUUC
rnacentral:rRNA from 1 species